UUCAUUCCGACCUUGCACUUUGUUGUAUUACCGACCACUGGAAUUCGUUAAUUGAAUUAGCUUGGUGAUUUACUUAUAUUAAGAGAUAUUGAACUUGUAUUAAUGCAGCUUAAAAUAAUGCCUGUAAAAAAAUUUGCAAUGACAUUUUAAGGUUGCAGGCUUGCAGUUGACUAGCAGAUCACUUGAUGGUAUGAGCUCAGGUUUCAACCGAGCUUCCACGCACAAAUCAGUUGCACAUUUUUCUUUCAUUGUUUAGAUUUUCAUAAACAUAAGUACCGUUUCUUUUUUGUCAGGCUUCUAGUUGUGUCGUAGGACCUAACUGUUUACCUUUAUUUGUAUUGGUAGCCGUGUUACACAGACAGCUCAAUUUUUAUUGUAAAUCGUGACAUGGUAGGACUAAGAACAAUUGUGCAAAUUUGUUGCAGGUACACUAUGGCGGCUCCUACUCCUGCGUCCUACCACCACCCUGUCCUGACUACGUCCACUAGGGAGUUGGGAGCCUUUGGCGGCUUCUGCCACUGCAUCCUGCCGCCACCAUGUCCCAACUACGUCCACUAGGGAGUUGGCAGGCUUAGUGAUGAUGCCAGCAGGCUGACAGCCGACAGAAAGAUUCAGGCUGCCUCGAAAUUUUACCCAAGCCAUGCCGCACACUUGGGCCAAGCCUCUUGUGAACGACGUAUAACCAGGCUCAACACAUGAGUGUCGAGUGAGUCCGGAGAUCAAGGCAACCUGCUGUGCAACCAGCGUGCAACCUUUGGUGACCCCUCUAAUGUUCUACCUAUUUCACAGCUGUGCCUCACCUACCAUCUAUCCAAACAGCGUCACCAUCUGUGAUCACUUAUCGAACCAUGGAUGAAUGUUGGGGUGGAGUGAUUUAAACAUUCUAUUUGUCUCUUCAAAUUCUUUGCAAAUAUUUCUGCUAUUAUAAUUCAUAUGUCUUUAGUACCUAGUUUUUAAUAGUUCCUUUCUCUUAGAAUUCUCACCAUCUACUCCUGCUAUUAUAAUGUAUACCUGCCUUUAAGCCCUGUUUCUCGUAGUUCUUUUGUACUUGUGGAUGUAAUUGAUAGGUUCUUAAUUCUUGUUAUACAGAAGGCCAAAAUGCCAACUUAGGGCAUUUUUUCUUCCUUUGAUAAUCUACAGCACUGCAAUGUGUUCAAGAAAUGUAACAUAACACGUGCUCUGGUGCAGGAUAAAUUUAAGAGCAAUAUAGAGUACUUACUUCAAGCACCCGUUAUUUUUGAAAAACUCAAGGAUAUAGGAGCACAAGAAAGAAAAUAUUGAACUAGAGAAACAUGGCACCCCUCAUAAGUCUGGUAAUAAUGUGACUUCCUUUCACUGCAAAGAUACUGGUACUCGCAUACAAGGUUUCAGACAUGAAAGCUAUGAUACCCUUGGCAUUUCUCAGUGCUUAUUUGCCACACUGACGAAUGUCAAAGGCAGCAUAGGUUUCAUGCACACAUUGGUUGUAUUACACCUUUUGAGUAUUGCAUUUCUCAAACACUCAGGUUUGCAGCAGUGCUUUAAAUAGCAGAUGUAUUUCCUAAUUUUAAGAAUUUGUUAGUGCAAGAGUAACACUACAGAUCAUGUAAAAAUAAUUUUACAGACUAUAUGUCCAUGGAUGCAUGCUUCUUCUGAUGAUGUAGCAGUGCCAUGUGGUUGGGGGAUGAAUGUCUAUUUCAGAUUUAAAUAUUGGCUUCCAGGCCCGGGUUAGUCUCCUACACUGAGUAUUCUAGGUCAGAGCCUAGUUACUGGAGGAAAGUGAAUUAAACUAGGAAUUAUAAACAUCAAAGGUCUUGUUCGGGACACUAAUGUAACAAUCAGCAAGGUUCUUUGUGCAUUAAUUUCCAGAUUUGCUAGAUUAUAUUUUGACUGGUUUCAUUAAUGCGAGAACAAAUAUUUGUUUAUUCUCAUGCUAGAGUUGGCUGCCCCCAUUCGCAUACAACCACUUUACAGGCUAAAAAUUCAGUGUAAUAAUAGGCUGUUUUUUGGUUUUGCGCCGUCAGUGUUAAGGGAUGCAAACGGUGACAUACCACAGAAUGCAGAAAAAUGUCUAAGGAAUGCAAGCAGGGCAUAGGGCUUUUUAGGCAGAUGCGUGCAUGUGCUAUUUAUAAAACUCCCUAUGGUAUGACUCAAGGCAUUUUUAACCCUUUAGUAGAAACACUGACGCCCACUUAUUAAGGGGAAAUGCUCCUCGAAACAAUUUUUUUUAAUUAUUUGUGCUAGAGAUUUGAAUGUGCCGCCAUUCAUAGGGAGUUUUAUGUAUAUUUGAAUUGUCAUUGGUUUUUGUGUAGCUGGCGUUUUUUAGUUAUGUCCUAUAUAGUGGCAAUAUAUUUUUAUGGGCACUUUCGUGUGUAAAAAGUUCCGCAAAUAGUUUCAUGCUGUAUCUUAUUUAGCUAGUUGUAUACCGCAAAGUGGCGAUACCUAUCCAAACAGCUUGUACAAUUACUGGAACUGUGCAAAAAUAUAUAGGCCACUUUAAAUAAUUUUUACAGAUUGCAAUUUCAAUUAGAUAUCGGUAUUCUGCAUAUUUUGAAGAGUAUGUAUGCCAAAUUUCGUUUCUGUAGAACAAUUAUAAGUGCACAAGGUCAUUCUCAUGCUAUUAUGACAAAAAAAAUUAUUGAAGUAUUCUCAAUAAUUUUUUUUCACAGAGUACAUGAGAGGUAUGCAAGAUUAUUAGGCAGGCCUUCCUGCCUGCCUACUAUCUUGCAUACUUCUAGUAACUUUACAUGCUGUUUGAAUAGAUAUCGGCACCUUGCAGUCUACAGGGAGCUGAGUUAGCUGCAACACACUGCUUUUUGUGAAGAUUUAAUACACAAGAAAAUGCCCGCAAAUAUCACUAUGUAUUUUGCCGUUGUGUAGGGCAUAACUCAAGAAGCAGCUAAACAAAAAUAAAUGGAAUAUAUGAAAUCUGCAUGAAGAACUCUACAAUUGGCUCUCUUUUCAAACCUCUAGUACAAAUAAUAAAAAUAUUUCGAGUAAUAUUCAAUCAGCAAAACGUUCCCCUUGCUACAGUGACCUACAACAUAGCGACGCAAAGUUUAAGGCAAGUCCUUUUGUCGAAGCGAAUCUGGGCUGUCUUCCCAAGAGCUGUUAAAGACGGUGAAUUUUCCUGCAUUUGCCAGAAGUGCAAUACUAAAAUGUUUGUGAAUGUGCAAUUGGUAUUGGCACGCUAACAGAAAAAAACACAGUUCUGUGAAAUGUAGACUUGGUUAUAACUUUGUUGGGCAUUUAAAUUUUGACUCCAUAUAUUUAUUUUGUGUUUUGUACUGAGUAUUUCAGCGGUGACUGCCACUAAUUAUUGAACAUAACUGCUUCAUGACAGUGCGACAAUUUUCACUAACAGAAAUUUAUAGCAGUGGCAGGCAUUAUAAUUACAGUACUCAAUAACGUCUACUUUGUAAGAACUCAGACUAGCACCAGUUCUGAGAUACACAUACCCAAAAAGUAAUGAUCAAAUAGAUUUCUCUUCCACACAGAAUUGUCCCACAAGGCUUACAGGAGGCUUUUUGGCAAAGUAAUAUCUGAAAGAUCAAAGCAUGGGUUCCACCAAGUAUGAUAACAAAUAUUUCAGAGCUGCCAGUCUGAGGACUCCUACAAACUAACAAUACCUUCAGCACUACUAGCUUCAAUAAUGGGAUGUCAGCAUUUUGCUGAAAUUAAUGAAACUUCAAUUAUCGUGAUCUUGUUUAAGAAGACAUUUGAAAUUAACAUGCAGUUCUAAUCUCUGUCACUUUUGUAAAUAUUUCCCAAUUAUUUUUUCAGGCUACAGUUUUUGGUAAUAAUGGUAUUCAUUGCAGAAAGAGCUAGUACAUGGCAUUUAAUAAAAAAAGGUACUGGUCAUUGUAGAUUUUGUGUCUUGAGCAUUUGUUCUGUUCCACCGCUGUUUCUUGAAAUCUGAAAUGAUGUACCCAUCUCUUUGUUAGCGAUAAACAGGGAAAUCUGUCAGUA